GCUGGAAGAGCGCUCGGUCCAGAGCGUUCCUCUGGUAUGGGAAAGGCCCGGGGUUCAAUCCCCUGACUCAGCUC
rnacentral:tRNA from 1 species